UCGAGCGGCAGCGACUUAACUGAACCUUCGGGGAACGUUAAGGGCGGCGAGCGGCGGACGGGUGAGUAAUGCCUGGGAAUAUGCCCUGAUGUGGGGGAUAACUAUUGGAAACGAUAGCUAAUACCGCAUAAUCUCUUCGGAGCAAAGAGGGGGACCUUCGGGCCUCUCGCGUCAGGAUUAGCCCAGGUGGGAUUAGCUUGUUGGUGAGGUAAUGGCUCACCAAGGCAACGAUCCCUAGCUGGUCUGAGAGGAUGAUCAGCCACACUGGAACUGAGACACGGUCCAGACUCCUACGGGAGGCAGCAGUGGGGAAUAUUGCACAAUGGGGGAAACCCUGAUGCAGCCAUGCCGCGUGUGUGAAGAAGGCCUUCGGGUUGUAAAGCACUUUCAGUAGGGAGGAAGGUAGUGUAGUUAACACCUGCAUUAUUUGACGUUACCUACAGAAGAAGCACCGGCUAACUCCGUGCCAGCAGCCGCGGUAAUACGGAGGGUGCGAGCGUUAAUCGGAAUUACUGGGCGUAAAGCGCAUGCAGGCGGCCUGUUAAGUCAGAUGUGAAAGCCCGGGGCUUAACCUCGGAAUUGCAUUUGAAACUGGCAGGCUAGAGUCUUGUAGAGGGGGGUAGAAUUUCAGGUGUAGCGGUGAAAUGCGUAGAGAUCUGAAGGAAUACCAGUGGCGAAGCGGCCCCCUGGACAAAGACUGACGCUCAGAUGCGAAAGCGUGGGGAGCAAACAGGA
rnacentral:rRNA from 1 species